rnacentral:rRNA from 1 species
UACGGAGGGGGCUAGCGUUGUUCGGAAUUACUGGGCGUAAAGCGCGCGUAGGCGGCUUUGUAAGUUAGAGGUGAAAGCCCGGAGCUCAACUCCGGAAUUGCCUUUAAGACUGCAUCGCUAGAAUCAUGGAGAGGUUAGUGGAAUUCCGAGUGUAGAGGUGAAAUUCGUAGAUAUUCGGAAGAACACCAGUGGCGAAGGCGACUAACUGGACGUGUAUUGACGCUGAGGUGCGAAAGCGUGGGGAGCAAACAGG